AUAUAUUAGAAAGACCUUCAAAAAGCGAAUCAUGUUUAAAAUAUCAAUUUCAUGAAGCUCAUUUGGUGCAAGAUUUUAUUUUAGCUUUGUUGCUGUUCACUGAUUUUUAUAUUUCCUAAAUGAUUUUUGCUGACCAAAUUCUGUAGAGUAUUUUUCCCGCGAUAUUUUUACUGAUCUGAUCAAGGACGCGAGAAUACUUUUUACUUCUUGUUUCUAAAUUGUUUAAACGUUUAACGAUAGUUUUUUUAUAAUUGAUUGACAUAGUAAACAGAUUAUAUAUUGCAUUGUUUAUUAUUUAAAUGAGUCUAAAUUCUGAUGGUUUAAUUAAGAACAUGGUAAGAACACUAAUUGGUGAUUAAUUAUUAUUAAGUAAUCAUUGGAGUAAAGAGUGGGCCAAUAGAUGGUAUUUCAAGGCAAACAGAAUUAACCAGAAUGGUGAAGAAUAAAAUAGUACUAUUUUUUAUUGAAAAAAAAGUUUGAAACACGUUAUAAACAUGUCAUUAAAAUCAUUAAACUUCAAAAUAAACCAAAAAAAGUUUGAAAUAUGUUUUUAGAUAUGAAAGGAGAAAUAAAUUCUAACAAUCUACCAAAAACUAUAACAAGAAUAAAGACUUUAAUAGAUUUACCUUUAGACAAUAUAUGUAUGACUAAUUGAAUAACACCAUCUAUCUUGGUACACACUAGCAAUGAUAUUGAUAUAGGGAGAUCUGAUGUAUAAAAAUAAUGUAACGCAGCAGGGGUAGUUUGAUAUAUGCUCGUGGUUAUUUCACAUAUAACUAUAGUAUUUUCUAUCUUGUACUUUUCUUUUUAUCUAUUUCCUAAAAAGUUGAUAGAAUUUUAU